UGCCACGAGAAUAAAGGAGCAGCCUCC
rnacentral:piRNA from 1 species